rnacentral:lncRNA from 1 species
CGGGGCACAGCCUGAGAGGCGAGGCAAUGAGCGCGCGCGGCGCCUGCCGGGAGAGUGGCGGACCCAGGGGCGGAGUCACAGGUUGGGCGGGACCCGGAAACCAGCUGUUCUCUGUGCCCUAGGUGCGAUCGCAGUGACCAGGAAGAGCAGGUUUUCUUGCUCCAUCAUGAGAAGAACAUGAGGCAAGUAGCUACUGCCCUUCAAUCUGGGCCCUAGAAUGAACACACGUGGAAUACACUUGAACCCAGCCCACAACCUGGAAGCAAGUUCAGUCAAUCCACAGCCUGAAGAAGAGCUACCAAGCCAAGUCUUUUCCAGCAAAAUCUCAUUAGCCGGCAGGAGGAGACUUCUGGAGGUGGUAGAGAGGCAAUGGAAAAUAGACAUUUAAGAAUGCAAACCAGCAUAAGAUAGACAGUGGUAAGUACUGUGGAGAAAGAUACAGCUGAGAAAGAGGAUUAGAGUUCUU